rnacentral:rRNA from 1 species
CAAUAGCGUAUAUUAAAGUUGUUGCGGUUAAAAAGCUCGUAGUUGGAGUUCUGCCAGGUGCCGCCUGUCCGCCCCAGUGGUGAGUACGUGGCGCGCAUUUGGCCCUUUCAAGGGGAGCGUAUCUGCACUUUAUUGUGUGGUGCGGGAUCCUUGACUUUUACUUUGAGGAAAUAGGAGUGUUCCAAGCAGGCUCUCGUCGUGCACAGCUCAGCAUGGAAUAAUAGCAUUGGACCUCGAUUCUAAGCUGUUGGUUGCCAGAAGCGAGGUAAUGAUGAAGAGGGAUAGUUGGGGGCAUUCGUAUUUAACUGUCAGAGGUGAAAUUCUUGGAUUUGUUAGAGACGGACUACUGCGAAAGCAUCUGCCAUGGAUGUUUUCAUUGA